rnacentral:lncRNA from 1 species
UUGGGUUUAUGGAUCCAUUUACUCACCCAUCUUCAUAUUUUCUGUUAAGCCCUUGCCAAAAAUCAAUUUCAUAUGCUAUCAGGUCGAAACCCUAAUCUCUCUAGAAAAACUAUUGCAUCUUAUCCCAAUUCAGGUUCUUAAUCAACAUGAUUCAUAUGCUUACAUGGAUUUUAGAGCACUAUGAUCGAAUGCUAAGGUAAUUUUUGCGUUUCUUCAUCGGAAAGUGAUACGAUUGUUUUAGUCUUUGGACUUCCCUUUGUCGGUUUUGCAGGUAUUACAAACUGGAGUCGGAAAUCGCACAUGCACUUCAGCCUCACAUCUUCAUUUUCUUGCUUUCUUCUUCUGAUUCUUGAUGAUCAUUCCCAAAAUCGAAAAGAAAAAAAAAUAGAAACAUUAAACCCCAGUUGGGUAACCACGAAACUGAUGAAAGAUGUUGAUUUGAGGUAAAAUCUCUUUUGAAGCAUCUUAAUAAUUCAAGGUUUUAAUUUUUAACUAUGUUGAACAUGGAAAUAACUGUUUUGAAAUUGGGAUCAUUAUCUUAGACUCUAAAGCAUCCAAAUUUGUUUCUAAGUUCACUUAGAAUCUUGAUUUUUUGAAGUAAAAUGGGAACAUAGUUGAUGAAUUUUGUUGCAAGGGAAAAUAAUAUGCUCCAUUUUUAUAAUAGUUGUGUUAUAGCUAUCAGAAUUACGUUAUAGUCGAAGGCGAGUAUUAUUAUAAUAUUUUGAUUUGAGUUUUCAGUGAUUAUCUUAUACAUAAUUUAACUCUCAAGCUUAGUGUUGUUUCUUAAAUCUAUAUAUACACAUCUUGUUUUGAUAUGGUUUUUAGGUUUAAUUUCAUGGGAAAAGGAAUGCUAAAAAUAAAUAAACUCUCGAUAAUUAUAUGUAUAAUACGUAGGACUAUUACUUUUGGUUAAUUGAAUGCAUAUUUUCUUUUGCCAUUUUGUGUAUUUUCAAAGUAACGAAUUGAAAAAAAAGUAACGAAUUUUACUAAUCUUGAUGAAAUUUUUUAAUCUGAAUCAAGUCUCCUAAUGCUCAGAUUCCAAGAUUGUUGAAAGUACAAUUGAAAAGUUUUGAUCAGUAUGAACAAUUUUCCGAUUACAUCUUUGCAGGAUCAAGAAUCUUUAUAUCCAUAAUCAACCCAACAAAUGAAUUCCAGGCAAUCGGAAAAUUUUAAGACAAAGUGUUUUUUUAUUUAAAUAUUAAAAAAAGCUUUAUAAAUCCAACCCAAUAGUUUUUGAAUCAUACACAAAAAAGCCCUUUGUUGUGACUUUUAAUUACAAUUUUGAUUUAACUUCAAACUAAUAUUGAUUUCUUUCAUAUAAGCAACCUCAAAAUCGGUUUUGAGAUUGAUGUGAUUGAAGGGGUUGAAAUUGUACCUUUUGAAGAGCAAUUGAUUUUAUUAUUAUUAUUAUUAUUAUUAUUAUUAUUAUUAUUAUUAUUAUUAUUAUUUUGCGUCAUGUACUUUAGAGCAACCAUGUUUCUAUUUUUUGUUAAUUUUUUCUUGUGACCUAUAAUCAUGACAUUAUAAAGAAAACAAAAUAUAUUACCAACAUCUCAUAAUAGCAUUGUGCUUUCUAGAAAUGACCAAAAUACAAAAUACCAACAUAUCAAAACUUUAACCAAACUACGUCCUACACAAUAUUGCAUAUACAUUAUAGCAUUAUAUACACUAUAACAUUAUAUUUUUUUUCAUUUUUCCAUUAUAACAUUGUACUAUACUAAACUAACAGUUACCAACAUAUCAUUAUAGCAUACUACUUUACAAAUUAAGGUCAUGAUGAUUAUAGCAUCUUACUUUUUUUUCCCCAUUAUAACAUUGUAAUUUUAAAAUACACUUAAACUAACAAUUACUGUGAUUGUGGUAGUGGCUGUGUCAGUGGUUGUUCCUGAUCGUACAUAGAUACAACCUUAGAAGGUUCACGCUCGAUGCCUCUGGCCGCGUUGAUAACCCAAUAUUCUUUCAAAAUAUUUUUUAAAUCCUUUAGUGUUAUACCCCUUGCUUUAGAAGAAGCUUGAGUUUGUUGAUUGAUCUCUUGGAGUAAAAGAUUCCGUAUUUUCAAAAAAUGAUAAACAUCAUAAAAUUAGAUUGCUAAAUACCCCUUGACGAUACAAACACUUAUAUGAAACUACAAAUUAACCAUUUAGGUAUUGUUGCUCGACUACUGGGCUACUAAAUACCCCUUGACGAUCGGUAUUAGGCUUACAAAUUGCUUUGAGUCGAGUGAUGUCUUAUUUAACAUUAAAAAUUAGAUUAAUUAUACUUUAAAUAAACAGUUAAAUAUAUCGUAACUUACUUCUUUGAAAUAUGCUUGUGAUCCAAGUUAACCUUAUCCAAAUCAAAAUUUCUCUAUAAAUACAAAAAAGUUAGUUAAUUAAAUACUAAUUACAACUAAACUUAAAAUGUUAUUUAAGUUACCUUUAGAUGCACGACUUUGGCAUUCCUUAAAGUAGGGGAAACAUUGUCCGAAUCAGAUACACUAAAAGGGACGUUCUCCCAUAUAUACAUCCUAAUAUCAUGUGUAAAUGAUAUUUCUAUAUUUAUACACAUUUUUAGGAAAUAUUUUAAUACAUUUUAUUUAAUAUUUUGGUUAUAUGCAAAUAUAUAUAGUACUUAUUGAAUUAAAUUGUAUUUUGUAGCCAAUAGAAACACUCUUGAAGAAUAGGGGCCAGAAUUGACAAGAAUUGGAACUUUGGAGGAUGGAAGCUUAAAAGAAGAAAAUUCCAGCGAAAAACCCAAAUCACGACCUGGCCAUCAAAAUCACGACGUGGAGUGAGUAUUCUGAAAGAUAAAAACGCGGGAAGUCAGAAUCUUUGCCCGAUAAGGAUUGUACCAAAGUCAUGCCAUCACAUCCUUGUUCACGUCGUGGAGCACGGAAUUUUCAAAACUAUAAAUACUCCUUCAUUGUUACGUUUUGAGGAGACUUUUUUGAAAGGUUUUUGGAGAGUUUUUUUGGAAGAGAAUUAUUCUGAGAAACCGAAUUUAAAGUCUAGAAAGUGCACAAAACAUCAUUGGAAGGAGAAUUGCUUGGAGAUCGAGAGAUAGACCUCUUCUUUUUGUAGGAAACGAAACUCAAGUGAAAAAUAUAAUUAAAAAUAUUAGUCACGAUGUCUUAUAAUAAAUGAAUAAAAAUAACUAAUAAAUAUAUCAUAAUAAGAUUUACCAUCCUGUUCGUGUUGUCCGUGACCAAAGCCUACUGGAGGUGGUGGAUCCCCGACUCCAUCACCUCCAUGUCUUAGGCCCGUAACAUCCGCCAUCAUAUAAAAGAGUAUUGCCCAACUAACCCCUAUAUAUAGCCUACAAAAUUACAAGAUGUACAAUAUAGAAACACAAUAUGAAUAAAAUUUAACAUUGCACUUUCCAUUAUAACAUUGUACUUUCAAAACUGCAUACAGAUACACAAACUAUUUUUUUUCAUUUUUCUCAUUAUAGCAUUGUACUUUCCAAAUUACAUACAAAUACACACAUAUUAAGCCCUUGUACUUUACAAAUUAAGUUCGUGAUUAUUAUAACAUUAUACUUCACAAAAUAACGGCAUGCUUAUUUUUUCCAUUAUAACAUUGUACUUUACAAAUACUCAAACUACAUAUAUAAUUUUUUAUACAUAAACAUACACAUAUACAUACAUACUACUCAUAGAAAACACAUAUACAAACAUGAUACAUAUGCAUAUGUAAUACAAAUACAAACACACAUAUACAUACAUAAUACACAUACAAAAUAUAGAUAUACAUACAAAUGCUAUAUUCCAUAUUCGAUCCCUCAUGUGUUCCUAUAUUUCAUAUUUAUACCAAACCAUGUGACUUUAUUCUUGUUAGAUACGUACUAUUUAUUUAUAUAACCAUGUUUUGUUUUUAUUUUAGACCAUCUCCAACCCACUCCUAUUUUUUCUCUUAAUAAUGGAGUAAAAAAUGAGGUAAAUAGUGUUUCAUCUCCAACCGUACUCCAUUUUUUACCUUAUUUUUAACCCCAAAAAGUAUAUUCCUAGUAUAUUAUAUUAUUUCAACUUAGAUAGAUUGUCAAAC